GGCAAGGUGGCAGAGUGGUUAUGCAGCGGCCUGCAAAGCCGUGUACGUCGGUUCAAUUCCGAUCCUUGCCUCCA
rnacentral:tRNA from 1 species